rnacentral:RNase_P_RNA from 1 species
GCAUGCCGGCUUGUCGCUGGUCACUUACGUAGUGGCGAGAGGAAAGUCCGGGCAACAUAGGGCAAUCCGCUUCCUAACGGGAAGAAGUCCGCGAGGGCUAGUAGAUGCAGAAGAGAAUGACAGCCCAUUAUGGGUGAUGGUGAGAAGGUGGGGUAAGAGCCCACCAGGCGUAUGGCGACAUGCGUGCUGUGCAUCCCGGAUGUUGAAAGUUCAUGUAUACCGGCGUUUGAGGGCGGCCCGUCCGAGCUGGAGGGUAGAACGAUAGAGGCCGACUGGUGACAGCGGCAGUAGAUAAAUGACAGGCGUCCGCCGCUUGCGGUGGAAACAGAACCCGGCUUACAGGCAAGCUCU